CACCUCACCUAGGAUGACUCGCGCCC
rnacentral:piRNA from 1 species